GAUGAACGCUGGCGGCGUGCCUAAUACAUGCAAGUCGAGCGAACAGACGAGGAGCUUGCUCCUCUGACGUUAGCGGCGGACGGGUGAGUAACACGUGGAUAACCUACCUAUAAGACUGGGAUAACUUCGGGAAACCGGAGCUAAUACCGGAUAAUAUAUUGAACCGCAUGGUUCAAUAGUGAAAGACGGUUUUGCUGUCACUUAUAGAUGGAUCCGCGCCGCAUUAGCUAGUUGGUAAGGUAACGGCUUACCAAGGCGACGAUGCGUAGCCGACCUGAGAGGGUGAUCGGCCACACUGGAACUGAGACACGGUCCAGACUCCUACGGGAGGCAGCAGUAGGGAAUCUUCCGCAAUGGGCGAAAGCCUGACGGAGCAACGCCGCGUGAGUGAUGAAGGUCUUCGGCUCGUAAAACUCUGUUAUUAGGGAAGAACAAAUGUGUAAGUAACUAUGCACGUCUUGACGGUACCUAAUCAGAAAGCCACGGCUAACUACGUG
rnacentral:rRNA from 1 species